GACGAACGCUGGCGGCGUGCUUAACACAUGCAAGUCGAGCGGAAAGGCCCUUCGGGGUACUCGAGCGGCGAACGGGUGAGUAACACGUGAGUAAUCUGCCCCGUACUCUGGGAUAGCCUCUGGAAACGGAGAUUAAUACCGGAUAUGAAACGCAUCUGCAUGGGUGUGUUUGGAAAGUUUUUCGGUACGGGAUGUGCUCGCGGCCUAUCAGCUUGAUGGUGAGGUAAUGGCUCACCAUGGCUUCGACGGGUAGCCGGCCUGAGAGGGUGACCGGCCACACUGGGACUGAGACACGGCCCAGACUCCUACGGGAGGCAGCAGUGGGGAAUAUUGGACAAUGGGCGAAAGCCUGAUCCAGCAACGCCGCGUGAGGGAUGACGGCCUUCGGGUUGUAAACCUCUUUCAGCACAGACGAAGCGCAAGUGACGGUAUGUGCAGAAGAAGGACCGGCCAACUACGUGCCAGCCGCCGCAGUAAAAC
rnacentral:rRNA from 1 species